rnacentral:tRNA from 1 species
GUGUGUAGUCCCGUAAGGGGCGGGAACGGUCUGUAAAACCGCUGCCUUUUUGGCCCUGGGGGUUCGAAUCCCUCCACACCCA